CCUCGGAACCCGCAAGGGUUGGUAGAGGAGCAUUCUUAAAGGAACGAAGCAGUACCGAAAGGAGCUGUGGACUUUUAAGAAGAGAGAAUGCCGGAAUGAGUAGCGAGAGUAAGGUGAGAAUCCUUACGGCCGAAUAUCCAAGGUUUCCAGGGUAAAGCUGAUCUGCCCUGGGGAAGUCGGGACCUAAGGCGAGGCCGAGAGGCGUAGCCGAUGGACAACAGGUUGAGAUUCCUGUACUACAGUAUGACAGAACUGUGGGGACGCAGAAGGAGAGCACUACCUGGAAUGGAAUCCAGGGGCAAGCACAGGAGGGGUACGGCUGGAAAAACCGCCGUGCAACCCAAAGGUGUGACGCAUACCGAACUAAAGUAGGGAAAUGUGUGAGCCGGCUGCCGAGAAAAGCCGCUAUUGUUUGUACUGUACCCGUACCGUAAACCGACACAGGUGGAUGAGGAGAGAAUCCUAAGGCCGACGGAAGAAGCAUUGCUAAGGAACUCGGCAAAAUGACCCUGUAACUUCGGGAGAAAGGUGCCUCGAAAGAGGCCGCAGAGAAUAGGCCCAAGCAACUGUUUAGCAAAAACACAGGUCUAUGCAAAACCGCAAGGUGAAGUAUAUGGGCUGACGCCUGCCCGGUGCUGGAAGGUUAAGGGGAGAUGUCAGGAGACGAAGCAUCGAACUUAAGCCCCAGUAAACGGCGGCCGUAACAAUAACGGUCCUAAGGUAGCGAAAUUCCUUGUCGGGUAAGUUCCGACCCGCACGAAAGGCGUAAUGAUUUGGGCGCUGUCUCGGCAAUGCAUCCGGUGAAAUUGAAGUGCCAGUGAAGAUGCUGGCUACCCGCGCCAGGACGGAAAGACCCCAUGGAGCUUUACUCCAGCUUGAUACUGGGAUUCGGUAUUGUAUGUACAGGAUAGGUGGGAGGCUGAGAAAUGGUGACGCCAGUCGCCAUGGAGCCGCUGUUGGGAUACCACCCUUGCAGUACUGGAUUUCUAACCAGCAGCCGUGAUCCGGCUGGGGGACAAUGUCAGGUGGGGAGUUUGACUGGGGCGGUCGCCUCCGAAAGGGUAUCGGAGGCGCUCAAAGGUUCCCUCAGAAUGGUCGGAAACCAUUCGAAGAGUGCAAAGGCAGAAGGGAGCUUGACUGCGACACCGACGGGUGGGGCAGGUACGAAAGUAGGACUUAGUGAUCCGGUGGUAUUAAGUGGGAAUGCCAUCGCUCAACGGAUAAAAGCUACCCUGGGAUAACAGGCUUAUCACUCCCAAGAGUUCACAUCGACGGAGUGGUUUGGCACCUCGAUGUCGGCUCAUCGCAUCCUGGGGCUGUAGUAGGUCCCAAGGGUUGGGCUGUUCGCCCAUUAAAGCGGUACGCGAGCUGGGUUCAGAACGUCGUGAGACAGUUCGGUCCCUAUCCGGCGUGGGCGUAGGAUAUUUGAGAGGAGCUGACCUUAGUACGAGAGGACCGGGUUGGACUGACCUCUGGUGCACCGGUUGUCAUGCCAAUGGCACAGCCGGGUAGCCAAGUCGGGAAGGGAUAAACGCUGAAGGCAUCUAAGCGUGAAGCCCCCCUCAAGAUGAGAUAUCCCCCGCAUAAGCGGUAAGACCCCUUGAAGACGACGAGGUAGAUAGGGCAGAGGUGGAAGUGCAGUAAUGUAUGGAGCUGACUGCUACUAAUAGGUCGAAGGC
rnacentral:rRNA from 1 species